UACGUAGGGUGCAAGCGUUGCCCGGAUUUAUUGGGCGUAAAGGGCGCGUAGGCGGCUCGGCACGUCCGUUGUGAAAUCGCCCGGCUCAACUGGGCGGGGUCAGCGGAUACGGUCGAGCUUGAGCAAGCUAGGGGGCAAUGGAAUUCCCGGUGUAGUGGUGGAAUGCGUAGAUAUCGGGAAGAACACCAGUGGCGUAGGCGACUAACUGGGCCGUAACUGACGCUGAGGAACGAAAGCCAGGGGAGCGAAUGGG
rnacentral:rRNA from 1 species